rnacentral:rRNA from 1 species
GGGUUGUGAGGUUAAGCGACUAAGCGUACACGGUGGAUGCCCUGGCAGUCAGAGGCGAUGAAGGACGUGCUAAUCUGCGAUAAGCGUCGGUAAGGUGAUAUGAACCGUUAUAACCGGCGAUUUCCGAAUGGGGAAACCCAGUGUGAUUCGUCACACUAUCAUUAACUGAAUCCAUAGGUUAAUGAGGCGAACCGGGGGAACUGAAACAUCUAAGUACCCCGAGGAAAAGAAAUCAACCGAGAUUCCCCCAGUAGCGGCGAGCGAACGGGGAGCAGCCCAGAGCCUGAAUCAGUGUGUGUGUUAGUGGAAGCGUCUGGAAAGGCGCGCGAUACAGGGUGACAGCCCCGUACACAAAAAUGCACAUACUGUGAGCUCGAUGAGUAGGGCGGGACACGUGGUAUCCUGUCUGAAUAUGGGGGGACCAUCCUCCAAGGCUAAAUACUCCUGACUGACCGAUAGUGAACCAGUACCGUGAGGGAAAGGCGAAAAGAACCCCGGCGAGGGGAGUGAAAAAGAACCUGAAACCGUGUACGUACAAGCAGUGGGAGCACAGAGCAAUCUGUGUGACUGCGUACCUUUUGUAUAAUGGGUCAGCGACUUAUAUUCUGUAGCAAGGUUAACCGAAUAGGGGAGCCGAAGGGAAACCGAGUCUUAACUGGGCGUUAAGUUGCAGGGUAUAGACCCGAAACCCGGUGAUCUAGCCAUGGGCAGGUUGAAGGUUGGGUAACACUAACUGGAGGACCGAACCGACUAAUGUUGAAAAAUUAGCGGAUGACUUGUGGCUGGGGGUGAAAGGCCAAUCAAACCGGGAGAUAGCUGGUUCUCCCCGAAAGCUAUUUAGGUAGCGCCUCGUGAAUUCAUCUCCGGGGGUAGAGCACUGUUUCGGCAAGGGGGUCAUCCCGACUUACCAACCCGAUGCAAACUGCGAAUACCGGAGAAUGUUAUCACGGGAGACACACGGCGGGUGCUAACGUCCGUCGUGAAGAGGGAAACAACCCAGACCGCCAGCUAAGGUCCCAAAGUCAUGGUUAAGUGGGAAACGAUGUGGGAAGGCCCAGACAGCCAGGAUGUUGGCUUAGAAGCAGCCAUCAUUUAAAGAAAGCGUAAUAGCUCACUGGUCGAGUCGGCCUGCGCGGAAGAUGUAACGGGGCUAAACCAUGCACCGAAGCUGCGGCAGCGACGCUGAUGCGUUGUUGGGUAGGGGAGCGUUCUGUAAGCCUGUGAAGGUGUGCUGUGAGGCAUGCUGGAGGUAUCAGAAGUGCGAAUGCUGACAUAAGUAACGAUAAAGCGGGUGAAAAGCCCGCUCGCCGGAAGACCAAGGGUUCCUGUCCAACGUUAAUCGGGGCAGGGUGAGUCGACCCCUAAGGCGAGGCCGAAAGGCGUAGUCGAUGGGAAACAGGUUAAUAUUCCUGUACUUGGUGUUACUGCGAAGGGGGGACGGAGAAGGCUAUGUUGGCCGGGCGACGGUUGUCCCGGUUUAAGCGUGUAGGCUGGUUUUCCAGGCAAAUCCGGAAAAUCAAGGCUGAGGCGUGAUGACGAGGCACUACGGUGCUGAAGCAACAAAUGCCCUGCUUCCAGGAAAAGCCUCUAAGCAUCAGGUAACAUCAAAUCGUACCCCAAACCGACACAGGUGGUCAGGUAGAGAAUACCAAGGCGCUUGAGAGAACUCGGGUGAAGGAACUAGGCAAAAUGGUGCCGUAACUUCGGGAGAAGGCACGCUGAUAUGUAGGUGAAGUCCCUCGCGGAUGGAGCUGAAAUCAGUCGAAGAUACCAGCUGGCUGCAACUGUUUAUUAAAAACACAGCACUGUGCAAACACGAAAGUGGACGUAUACGGUGUGACGCCUGCCCGGUGCCGGAAGGUUAAUUGAUGGGGUCAGCGCAAGCGAAGCUCUUGAUCGAAGCCCCGGUAAACGGCGGCCGUAACUAUAACGGUCCUAAGGUAGCGAAAUUCCUUGUCGGGUAAGUUCCGACCUGCACGAAUGGCGUAAUGAUGGCCAGGCUGUCUCCACCCGAGACUCAGUGAAAUUGAACUCGCUGUGAAGAUGCAGUGUACCCGCGGCAAGACGGAAAGACCCCGUGAACCUUUACUAUAGCUUGACACUGAACAUUGAGCCUUGAUGUGUAGGAUAGGUGGGAGGCUUAGAAGUGUGGACGCCAGUCUGCAUGGAGCCGACCUUGAAAUACCACCCUUUAAUGUUUGAUGUUCUAACGUUGACCCGUAAUCCGGGUUGCGGACAGUGUCUGGUGGGUAGUUUGACUGGGGCGGUCUCCUCCUAAAGAGUAACGGAGGAGCACGAAGGUUGGCUAAUCCUGGUCGGACAUCAGGAGGUUAGUGCAAUGGCAUAAGCCAGCUUGACUGCGAGCGUGACGGCGCGAGCAGGUGCGAAAGCAGGUCAUAGUGAUCCGGUGGUUCUGAAUGGAAGGGCCAUCGCUCAACGGAUAAAAGGUACUCCGGGGAUAACAGGCUGAUACCGCCCAAGAGUUCAUAUCGACGGCGGUGUUUGGCACCUCGAUGUCGGCUCAUCACAUCCUGGGGCUGAAGUAGGUCCCAAGGGUAUGGCUGUUCGCCAUUUAAAGUGGUACGCGAGCUGGGUUUAGAACGUCGUGAGACAGUUCGGUCCCUAUCUGCCGUGGGCGCUGGAGAACUGAGGGGGGCUGCUCCUAGUACGAGAGGACCGGAGUGGACGCAUCACUGGUGUUCGGGUUGUCAUGCCAAUGGCACUGCCCGGUAGCUAAAUGCGGAAGAGAUAAGUGCUGAAAGCAUCUAAGCACGAAACUUGCCCCGAGAUGAGUUCUCCCUGACUCCUUGAGAGUCCUGAAGGAACGUUGAAGACGACGACGUUGAUAGGCCGGAUGUGUAAGCGCAGCGAUGCGUUGAGCUAACCGGUACUAAUGAACCGUGAGGCUUAACCUUACAACGCCGAAGGUGUUU